CAAAGGGAGCGAUCCCGGCCACGGAUGGGCAUGCGGCGCAUUAGCUAGUCGGCGGGGUAACGGCCCACCGAGGCGACGAUGCGUAGGGGUUCUGAGAGGAAGGCCCCCCACACUGGUACUGAGACACGGACCAGACUCCUACGGGAGGCAGCAGUGAGGAAUAUUGGUCAAUGGGCGCGAGCCUGAACCAGCCAAGUCGCGUGAGGGAGGACGGCCCUACGGGUUGUAAACCUCUUUUGCCGGGGAGCAACGGGCGUCACGUGUGGCGCCACUGAGAGUACCCGGAGAAAAAGCAUCGGCUAACUCCGUGCCAGCAGCCGCGGUAAUACGGAGGAUGCGAGCGUUAUCCGGAUUUAUUGGGUUUAAAGGGUGCGUAGGCGGAUCGUUAAGUCAGUGGUCAAAUUGAGGGGCUCAACCCCUUCCCGCCAUUGAAACUGGCGAUCUUGAGUGGAAGAGAAGUAUGCGGAAUGCGUGGUGUAGCGGUGAAAUGCAUAGAUAUCACGCAGAACCCCGAUUGCGAAGGCAGCAUGCCGGCUUCCGACUGACGCUGAAGCACGAAAGCGUGGGGAUCGAACAGGAUUAGAUACCCUGGUAGUCCACGCGGUAAACGAUGAGCGCUAGGUGUCCGGGGGGAAUGGCCCCUGG
rnacentral:rRNA from 1 species